GACGAACGCUGGCGGCGUGCUUAACACAUGCAAGUCGAGCGGUAAGGCCUCUUCGGGGGUACACGAGCGGCGAACGGGUGAGUAACACGUGGGUGACCUGCCCUCAGCUCUGGGAUAAGCCUGGGAAACUGGGUCUAAUACCGGAUAUGACCUCUCAUCGCAUGGUGGGUGGUGGGAAGUUUUUUCGGCUGGGGAUGGGCCGGCGGCCUAUCAGCUUGUUGGUGGGGUGAUGGCCUACCAAGGCGACGACGGGUAGCCGGCCUGAGAGGGCGACCGGCGACACUGGGACUGAGAUACGGCCCAGACUCCGACGGGAGGCAGCAGUGGGGAAUAUUGCGCAAUGGGCGGAAGCGUGACGCAGCGACGCCACGUGGGGGAUGACAGCCUUCGGGUUGUAAACCUCUUUCGACCGGGACGAAGGGUGACUGACGGUACCGGUAGAAGAAGCACCGGCCAACUACGUGCCAGCAGCCGCCGUAAAAC
rnacentral:rRNA from 1 species